rnacentral:rRNA from 1 species
UGAGGAAUAUUGGUCAAUGGCCGUAAGGCUGAACCAGCCAAGUCGCGUGAGGGAAGACGGCCCUACGGGUUGUAAACCUCUUUUGCCGGGGAGCAAAGGCGGUCACUAGUGACCGGAUGAGAGUACCCGGAGAAAAAGCAUCGGCUAACUCCGUGCCAGCAGCCGCGGUAAUACGGAGGAUGCGAGCGUUAUCCGGAUUUAUUGGGUUUAAAGGGUGCGCAGGCGGGAAACCAAGUCAGCGGUCAAAUAUCGGGGCUCAACCCCGACCUGCCGUUGAAACUGGGUUCCUUGAGUGGGCGAGAAGUACGCGGAAUGCGUGGUGUAGCGGUGAAAUGCAUAGAUAUCACGCAGAACUCCGAUUGCGAAGGCAGCGUACCGGCGCCCUACUGACGCUCAUGCACGAAAGCGUGGGUAUCGAACAGG